ensembl:lncRNA
AGACGGAUACCGUGCCGGGGGCUGGAGGAGGAGGUGCCGGGGGGCCCGGAGCCGGGACAGCCAGCCAGGCUCUGUGCCCGCUCCCGCCCUCCUCACCCGCUCCUGCCGAGCGCCCAGGGUGUACCUCGCAGCCCCACCCGUCGCGGCCCCUCAGGGAGGUUCUGUAAUUACCGCCUGCUCCUUUCCAAACCUGGCUGCAAGUCUCUGCUCGGAGGGUUCUGAGAGGGUCUGACCCAGGCUUGGGGCUCGAAAAGCAGUUGCCUAGAGGAAAGGAGCGUUCCGUCGUAAAUCAGCUCAAGCCCGCCGUCUCGGGGAAAGGCUUCAGUCCCCGUCAGUCAGCCUUGAAGCAUCACCAGCUAACUAGCUGGCCGCACUCCCACGUGGCCUUUGAUUAAAGCCUCUGAGGCCGCAGCAGUAAGAACAAGGUCCAUCAAAAAAGCACAUGCCACCCGGGGCAGUCCCCCUGGGGGUCCCCGCUGGAAAGUGACUGCCUGAGGGAGAGCGGAGACUGCUGCCGGUCACCUGAGGGCGACGUGGAAACGCAUCCAGACCUGGGGAUGGGGAGACGCCCGCCAAGCCAAACACAGAGGCACAGAGUUUCCAAUCGGCCAUGGGAGCUUCCUUGAGCCACAGAAACUCCUCCUACCAGGCUUUCUUCCGUAAUAUUGGUCAGUAAACCGGUAUGAAUCACUGCAUGUUAUCCUGAAGUUGCCUUAACCAGAAAUCCCAAACACACUGGACAAUAUUGUCAGGCUUCCGUGUCGCCGUCACUGGUUACCAGGCACACACAAUUUACUGGCAAACACAUGAGAUCUGCUGAAUGAGACCAAGCAAGCUAAAAUGAGACAACGAAUAGGAACCAAAGUGGGAGACCGACCCCAGGGAGCAGCUGAGCAGAUGCUCGUCCCUCCUAAGGUGGCGAUGUUUAUUCAGAGCGACGGGAGCAUCUCGGUGAGCUCGACCUGGGUGGAGUAAAACCUUUGCCCCCAGAUGGGGCUUUUCAACUGUCCUUUUGUUUGUUUGCUGAGUGUGUGCAAGAGUCUAGGGUUGAUGGAUGGCCAUUGAAAAGCACAGGAUUCUCAGCUCUCUGGCCCGGACGGCUUCCUUCCUAGCAGGGACGCUCAGCCGAGAGUGACCAUGGCCUCAGGGGAUAGUUCUGUCUUCACAGCUGGGCUGGGGUGCUGCUGCAUCUGGCAGGCAGAUGCCAGGGGAUCCUAGAUGCCCUCCAAGGAAGGGCCCCGGGCCCCUAUGGCCACCGGGCACAGUCUGCCCCAACAUGCGCGUGAUCACCCCACGUGCCGCUGGGGCUGACCCACAACCUCCUCACUUCCACAUCACCAAACAUCGUCACCUGUCGCUCAGGGAGCAGCCUGUGGGGGGCUGUCCUGGCUACUGUCCCCCCCACACCCCCCUGAAGGGCACCUGUGCCUGCCACCCUCAGGGCCUCCUGGCGACAGUCACCGCCUCGGGCUCUCUGCUCCCGGCGGCCGCACCAGGAGUCUGCAGACACUGCUUGCUGCCCUUCCUUCCUCCCCUCUGCAAUUUCAGAAUAAAAAGCCUUGAGUUCUCUGAGAGUCUCCUGCAGUGUA